rnacentral:tRNA from 1 species
GCCCCUGUAGCUCAGCGGUAGAGCGCCUGUCUCGUAAACAGGAGGUCACGAGUUCAAUCCUCGUCGGGGGCU